rnacentral:rRNA from 1 species
UACGUAGGGGGCAAGCGUUGUCCGGAAUUAUUGGGCGUAAAGAGCGCGUAGGCGGUCCGGUAAGUCGGUUGUGAAAGUCGGGGGCUCAACCCUCGGAUGCCGAUCGAUACUGUCGGGCUAGAGUCCGGAAGAGGCGAGUGGAAUUCCUGGUGUAGCGGUGAAAUUCGUAGAUAUUCGGAAGAACACCAGUGGCGAAGGCGGCUCACUGGUCCGGUACUGACGCUGAGGUGCGAAAGCGUGGGGAGCAAACGGG